rnacentral:rRNA from 1 species
UACAGAGGUCUCAAGCGUUGUUCGGAUUCAUUGGGCGUAAAGGGUGUGUAGGUGGCGCCGUAAGUCGGGUGUGAAAUUUCGGAGCUUAACUCCGAAACUGCAUUCGAUACUGCGGUGCUUGAGGACUGGAGAGGAGACUGGAAUUCGAUGGUGUAGCAGUGAAAUGCGUAGAGAUCAUGAGGAAGACCAGUGGCGAAGGCGGGUCGUCUGGA